rnacentral:ncRNA from 1 species
UGAUAGCAAUGAAGCGUGAGGUUGCUGUCCUGCAAAAAAAGAUAAGCAAGGGCAGGUUUUCCGUGGAGCGAAUGUCAAGUUAGGAAACUGGCGACAA